GCUUAACGCAUGCAAGUCGAGCGAUGAGGCUCCCUUCGGGGGGUACAUCAGCGGCAGACGGGUGAGUAACACGUAGGUAACCUGCCCUCAAGACGGGGAUAACGCCUGGAAACGGGCGCUAAUACCGGAUGACCUUGGUCGGGGAAGCUCCGGCUAAGGAAAGGCAAUAGCGCUUGAGGAGGGGCCUGCGGCCCAUCAGUUAGUUGGUAGGGUAACGGCCUACCAAGGCGAAGACGGGUAGGGGGUGUGAGAGCACGGCCCCCCACACUGGGACUGAGACACGGCCCAGACUCCUACGGGAGGCAGCAGCGGGGAAUAUUGCGCAAUGGACGGAAGUCAGACGCAGCGACGCCGCGUGGGUGAAGAAGGCCUUCGGGUUGUAAAGCCCUUUUCUGAGGGAAGAGAAAGGACGGUACCUUAGGAAUAAGCGUCGGCUAACUACGUGCCAGCAGCCGCGGUAAGACGUAGGACGCGAGCGUUAUCCGGAUUUACUGGGCGUAAAGCGUGUGUAGGCGGCGUGACAAGUUGGGCGUGAAAGCCCCGUGCUCAACGCGGGGAGGCCGCACAAUACUGUCAGGCUAGAGGGCAUCAGAGGGGUGUGGAAUUCCCGGAGUAGCGGUAAAAUGCGCAGAUAUCGGGAGGAACACCGGUGGCGAAAGCGGCACCCUGGGGUGCACCUGACGCUGAGAGACGACAGCUAGGGGAGCGAACAGGAUUAGAGACCCUGGUAGUCCUAGCCGUAAACGAUGGAUGCUAGGUGUGGGAGUGAAGAACUUCUGUGCCGCAGCGAACGCGAUAAGCAUCCCGCCUGGGGAGUACGGCCGCAAGGUUAAAACUCAAACGAAUUGACGGGGACCCGCACAAGCAGCGGAGCGUGUGGUUUAAUUCGAUGCUACACGAAGAACCUUACCUGGGAUUGACAUAUGGGUGGUAGUGAGCCGAAAGGCAAGCGACCCUUCGGGGAGCCUAUACAGGUGCUGCAUGGCUGUCGUCAGCUCGUGCCGUGAGGUGUCGGGUUAAGUCCCGUAACGAGCGCAACCCCUGUCCUUAGUUACAAGUGUCUAAGGGGACUGCCGGCGGGAAGCCGGAGGAAGGUGGGGAUGACGUCAAGUCAGCAUGGCC
rnacentral:rRNA from 1 species